rnacentral:lncRNA from 1 species
GGCCAAACCACCUUUCCCCUUUGCCAGGGCUCCCUGAUCAGUUCUGCCCAUGUGCUACUAAGGGAAACGGUAAGGCUGGAGGAGGGAAAGGGGACACCACCCUUCUCUUUGCACACUGCUUAUGCCAGCAGCAUCCGAGCAAUACCGCUUGCCCUGUAGUGCUUCUUGAGUCGGAUUUCAGUUCAGUGUCUGGGUUUUUGAACAUUUCUAUAACCAUUCUCCCUCCUCAAUAGCACUCCCACAUCAGAAGCUGAGUCCCAGCUCCCUGACUUCUCCAGAUCCUAGAACUAUCAGCACCAGCAGCAGCACACAUUCCAUUCCUGUGGGGCUUGGCUCUGUGAGGCUCCUCUCAGCUCCCAGAUUCUCCCAACACAACUUCUUUCCUUUGUUCCCCCAGACUUCGAGCAGGUCAUUUCUUGCUAUGCCUGUCUAACCCCUUCCCUAAAUUCAAUUCUCUCUGUUAAGAUAACCAGUAUGUUUCUGCUUUCCAGUCUGGAUUCUGAUUGAUACACAAAAGCUGCAUUCCCACAUCAAGGGAACUGCGAGUGUUCACCCUCCGUGGUAAGGGGAGACUGGGAGACCCCACAAAAGCAUCCCAAGAGAGGAAGAGUCCCUUUACACACCUGCUGCCCCGUGUGUGGAUGCCCACUGAGCACGGAAGUUGUCAAGUAAGAACUCUCAACUCCCUAGUGUUCCAAAUCCCAGUUCUGGUGGAGUCAGGUAUUACAGUCAUAGCAGAGCAGAGGACCUUAGCAGCCCUAGGCAGAGAGGGGCUGAAGAAGCCAACCAAGGCUUCAGGUGUAGUUGGAGAAAGAAGUCUCAGCCUCGAUCAAGUUUUCAGAACACUUCACUCUGUCUCGAUUACUACAUGGUGAAUUGAAGUUUCAGUAGAGAGGGAGUUGAGCUGAUACUGAGGAGAUAAAUACCCAUCACUGUAUACAUCUACUUCUUGGAAUUUGCAAGGGAACCAGUCAACAGAUUUUUCAAGCCUUAUAAGUUUAUCCGCCUGAGAAGUUCACCAGCUACAUAACAUCCUGGACUCUGGAGCCCAAGAGAUGUGUAGUUGCCAUUUUGGAGCCAUUUUC